UACAGAGGGUGCGAGCGUUAAUCGGAAUUACUGGGCGUAAAGGGUGCGUAGGUGGUUUGGUAAGUCAGAUGUGAAAUCCCCGGGCUUAACCUGGGAAUUGCAUUUGAUACUGUCAGACUAGAGUGUGGUAGAGGUAAGCGGAAUUCCCGGUGUAGCGGUGAAAUGCGUAGAUAUCGGGAGGAACAUCAGUGGCGAAGGCGGCUUACUGGACUAACACUGACACUGAGGCACGAAAGCGUGGGUAGCAAACAGG
rnacentral:rRNA from 1 species